CGUCGUCAUCCGACCGCUUCCAUUGAAAGUGUGUAUUACUCUACCACUGAGCUGCAUGACCCAGGGGACACUUCAGAUAUGGACGCUGAACUCAUAGCCGACCACAAUGAGAUAGUGCUGGAGGAUGUUAAUGGCCAGCCUCCUAAGAACACACAUAAGCCCAAGAAGAACCCUGAGCUGUACAUGGAAUGAAGUGGACGUAGUAUCGACU